GCAGCCUGCAACCCGGCUGCACGAAGCUGGAAUCGCUAGUAAUCGCGGAUCAGCAUGCCGCGGUGAAUACGUUCCCGGGUCUUGUACACACCGCCCGUCACACCAUGGGAGCCGGAAAUGCCCGAAGCCUGUGACCCAACCCUUAAGGGAGGGAGCAGCCUAAGGCGGGGCCGGUAACUGGGGUGAAGUCGUAACAAGGUAUC
rnacentral:rRNA from 1 species